CUGUAGCCAGCUAGGUGACCAGGCCCCUUUUUUAUGGAGGGCUGUGUGCCAAUGGCUGCAGCAGCCUCCUUGGUAGCACGUGCAACCUGCUGCCUAUGUGGGUUGCCCUAAGGGACCUUGGAGGCAAUU
ensembl:snoRNA SNORA70 Small nucleolar RNA SNORA70